UACGAAGGGGGCUAGCGUUGCUCGGAAUCACUGGGCGUAAAGGGUGCGUAGGCGGGGCUUUAAGUCAGGGGUGAAAUCCUGGAGCUCAACUCCAGAACUGCCUUUGAUACUGAAGAUCUUGAGUUCGGGAGAGGUGAGUGGAACUGCGAGUGUAGAGGUGAAAUUCGUAGAUAUUCGCAAGAACACCAGUGGCGAAGGCGGCUCACUGGCCCGAUACUGACGCUGAGGCACGAAAGCUGGGGGAGCGAACGGG
rnacentral:rRNA from 1 species